AGGACGAACGCUGGCGGCGUGCUUAACACAUGCAAGUCGAGCGGUAAGGCCUUUCGGGGUACACGAGCGGCGAACGGGUGAGUAACACGUGGGUGAUCUGCCCUGCACUCUGGGAUAAGCCUGGGAAACUGGGUCUAAUACCGGAUAUGACCUGCUCUCGCAGUGGGGGUGGGUGGAAAGAUUUUAUCGGUGCAGGAUGGGCCCGCGGCCUAUCAGCUUGUUGGUGGGGUAAUGGCCUACCAAGGCGACGACGGGUAGCCGACCUGAGGAGGGUGACCGGCCACACUGGGACUGAGACACGG
rnacentral:rRNA from 1 species